rnacentral:rRNA from 1 species
AACGAACGCUGGCGGCGUGCCUAACACAUGCAAGUCGUGCGAGAAAGUUCCUUCGGGAGCGAGUAAAGCGGCGCACGGGUGAGUAACACGUAGGUAACCUGCCCCCCAGUCUGGAACAACUAGAGGAAACUCUAGCUAAUGCCGGAUGAGACCACGAUCCCUUCGGGGGUUGCGGCCAAAGAUGGCCUCUACUUGUAAGCUAUCGCUGAGGGAUGGGCCUGCGGCCAUUAGCUUGUUGGUGAGGUAACGGCUCACCAAGACUGUGAUGGCUAGCUGGUCUGAGAGGAUGACCAGCCACACUGGGACUGAGACACGGCCCAGACUCCUACGGGAGGCAGCAGUGGGGAAUAUUGCGCAAUGGGGUGAAAGCCUGACGCAGCGACGCCGCCGUGGGUGAUGAAGGCCU